rnacentral:piRNA from 1 species
UGCAUACGUGGACACUCAUAUCUGAACUC